rnacentral:rRNA from 1 species
CACGUAGGGCGCAAGCGUUGUCCGGAAUUAUUGGGCGUAAAGAGCUCGUAGGUGGUUUGUUACGUCUGCUGUGAAAACCUAGGGCUUAACCCUGGGCUUGCAGUGGAUACGGGCAGACGUAGAGGUAGGUAGGGGAGAAUGGAAUUCCUGGUGUAGCGGUGAAAUGCGCAGAUAUCAGGAGGAACACCGGUGGCGAAGGCGGUUCUCUGGGCCUUACCUGACACUGAGGAGCGAAAGCGUGGGGAGCGAACAGG